UAGUGACAUGUUUCCCGAGGCAGGUGACACAUUUCCCGAGGAAAAAAAAUUUGAGGGUGUUGCCCCCUGCGUGCAAACAAUAUAAUACAUACCCAAUAGGGAAUUCGUGUGACGACUACGAUACAAAUGUAUAAUUUCCCCUUGUGGUGGAUUUUCCCUAGGUGAGAUGAACAGUCGACUCAUAACUAUUAUGGAUAAGGGGAAUCUGACUAUUUAAUUAAAACAAAGAGUUAUGAUGGUCCCUUUGGAUGUUGAUGCAAUGUGAUUUCUGUUGAGUUAUCUAAAUGUCAAAGUGAAUAAAUUCAACCAAGCAUGGGUAAAAAAUGAGAGUAAUUAUGACUCUUUUAAGGUAGCCAAAUGUCUCGUCAUCUAAUUAGUGACACACAUGAAUGGAUUAAUGAGAUUCCCAUUGUCCAUAUCUACUAUCUAGAGAAACCAUAGCCAAGGGAACUGGCUUGG
rnacentral:ncRNA from 1 species